rnacentral:rRNA from 1 species
UAGGGAAUAUUGCACAAUGGAGGAAACUCUGAUGCAGCCAUGCCGCGUGUGUGAAGAAGGCCUUCGGGUUGUAAAGCACUUUCGGAGGGGAGGAAAAAAAUGACGUUACCCUCAGAAGAAGCACCGGCUAACUCCGUGCCAGCAGCCGCGGUAAUACGGAGGGUGCAAGCGUUAAUCGGAAUAACUGGGCGUAAAGGGCAUGCAGGCGGUUCAUCAAGUAGGAUGUGAAAUCCCCGGGCUCAACCUGGGAACAGCAUACUAAACUGGUGGACUAGAGUAUUGCAGGGGGAGACGGAAUUCCAGGUGUAGCGGUGGAAUGCGUAGAUAUCUGGAAGAACACCAAAGGCGAAGGCAGUCUCCUGGGCAAAUACUGACGCUCAUAUGCGAAAGCGUGGGUAGCAAACAGG